UACAGAGGGGGCUAGCGUUAUUCGGAAUUAUUGGGCGUAAAGGGCGCGUAGGCGGCCAUGCGUGUCUUCCGUGAAAUCCCUCGGCUUAACUGAGGACGUGCGGAAGAAACUGCAAGGCUCGAGUCCGGGAGAGGGGGGGUGGAAUUCCCAGUGUAGCGGUGAAAUGCGUAGAUAUUGGGAGGAACACCGGUGGCGAAGGCGGCCCCCUGGACCGGUACUGACGCUCAUGCACGAAAGCGUGGGGAGCAAACAGG
rnacentral:rRNA from 1 species